GACGAACGCUGGCGGCGUGCUUAACACAUGCAAGUCGAACGGUAAGGCCCUUCGGGGUACAUGAGUGGCGAACGGGUGAGUAACACGUGGGUGAUCUGCCCUGCACUUCGGGAUAAGCCUGGGAAACUGGGUCUAAUACCGGAUAGGACUCCUGGCUUCAUGGUUGGGGGUGGAAAGCUUUUGCGGUGUGGGAUGGGCCCGCGGCCUAUCAGCUUGUUGGUGGGGUAAUGGCCUACCAAGGCGACGACGGGUAGCCGGCCUGAGAGAGUGACCGGUCAGACUGGGACUGGGAUACGACCCAGACUCCUACGGGAGGCAGAAGUGGGAAGAUUGCACAAUGGGCGCAAGCCUGAUGCAGCGACGCCGCGUGAGGGAUGACGGCCUUCGGGUUGUAAACCUCUUUCAGCUAUGACGAAGCGCAAGUGACGGUAGUAGCAGAAGAAGGACCGGCCAACUACGUGCCAGCAGCCGCAGUAA
rnacentral:rRNA from 1 species